CAUCAGGUGAGCAGACUGAGAGCAUGUGGCCUAGUAGGACCACAAACCUGGCUUGAUGUGAGAGCUGUCACAUCACUGGGGGUUUGCAGCUACACUGAUCACCCACUGUGCACAACCACCAGGCAUGUGGUAGAUAGAUGUGCUGGAACUACGCAGCUUCAGAAAAGGGUUUAAUGAGUUGGCGCACAGGCAGGGGAUUUUCCAUUAUGCAUUAAUUAUCCUCCUGUUCUGCCAUGGCAACAGGGAGUCGGCCAGAAUAUGAAGACAGCUGACAAAUGAAAGGAAAACCCUGAGUGGUCUCUAUUAGGAUGACAGUGCAUGAGGGGGUCACUGAAUGGUUUGAUGAGUAUGAAAAUUAUGUAAAGGAUACGCUAUGGUCUUCACAGUCACCAGAUCUCAACCCAGUUG